UCCGGUUUGUCACCGGCAGUCUCCUUAGAGUGCCCUUGCGUAGCAACUAAGGACAAGGGUUGCGCUCGUUGCGGGACUUAACCCAACAUCUCACGACACGAGCUGACGACAGCCAUGCAGCACCUGUGUUCCGGUUCCCUUUCGGGCACAGCCGCCUUUCAGCAGCCUUCCAGACAUGUCAAGGGUAGGUAAGGUUGUUCGCGUUGCAUGGCUGUCGUCA
rnacentral:misc_RNA from 1 species